rnacentral:rRNA from 1 species
UGACGUUGAGCAAAUCCCAGAAAUAACGUCCCAGUUCGGAUUGUAGUCUGCAACCCGACUACAUGAAGCUGGAAUCGCUAGUAAUCGCGAAUCAGAAUGUCGCGGUGAAUACGUUCCCGGGUCUUGUACACACCGCCCGUCACACCAUGGGAGUCGGAAAUGCCCGAAGUCAGUGACCCAACCGUAAGGAGGGAGCUGCCGAAGGUGGAGCCGGUAACUGGGGUGAAGUCGUAACAAGGUAAC